CCUACGGGUGGCAGCAGUGAGGAAUAUUGGUCAAUGGACGAGAGUCUGAACCAGCCAAGUAGCGUGAAGGAUGACUGCCCUAUGGGUUGUAAACUUCUUUUAUAUGGGAAUAAAAUGUUCCACGUGUGGGAUUUUGUAUGUACCAUAUGAAUAAGGAUCGGCUAACUCCGUGCCAGCAGCCGCGGUAAUACGGAGGAUCCGAGCGUUAUCCGGAUUUAUUGGGUUUAAAGGGAGCGUAGGUGGAUUGUUAAGUCAGUUGUGAAAGUUUGCGGCUCAACCGUAAAAUUGCAGUUGAAACUGGCAGUCUUGAGGACAGUAGAGGUGGGCGGAAGUCGUGGUGUAGCGGUGAAAUGCUUAGAUAUCACGAAGAACUCCGAUUGCGAAGGCAGUUCACUGGACUGCAACUGACACUGAGGCUCGAAAGUGUGGGUAUCAAACAGGAUUAGAUACCCUAGUAGUC
rnacentral:rRNA from 1 species